rnacentral:rRNA from 1 species
AGUGAACGCUGGCGGUAGGCCUAACACAUGCAAGUCGAACGGCAGCACAGGAGAGCUUGCUCUCUGGGUGGCGAGUGGCGGACGGGUGAGGAAUACAUCGGAAUCUACUCUGUCGUGGGGGAUAACGUAGGGAAACUUACGCUAAUACCGCAUACGACCUACGGGUGAAAGCAGGGGACCUUCGGGCCUUGCGCGAUUGAAUGAGCCGAUGUCGGAUUAGCUAGUUGGCGGGGUAAAGGCCCACCAAGGCGACGAUCCGUAGCUGGUCUGAGAGGAUGAUCAGCCAAACUGGAACUGAGACACGGUCCAGACUCCUACGGGAGGCAGCAGUGGGGAAUAUUGGACAAUGGGCGCAAGCCUGAUCCAGCCAUACCGCGUGGGUGAAGAAGGCCUUCGGGUUGUAAAGCCCUUUUGUUGGGAAAGAAAUCCAGCUGGCUAAUACCCGGUUGGGAUGACGGUACCCAAAGAAUAAGCACCGGCUAAAUACGUGCCAGCCGCCGCAGUAA